rnacentral:rRNA from 1 species
UACGAGUGCCCCAAGCGUUAUCCGGAAUCAUUGGGCGUAAAGGGUGUGUAGGUGGCGAUGUUAGUCUUCUGUCAAAUUCUUCGGCUUAACCGGGGGUCUGCAGGAGAAACGGCAUUGCUUGAGGAUGUGAGGGGUGAAUGGAACUCAUGGAGUAGGGGUGAAAUCCGUUGAUAUCAUGGGGAACACCAAAAGCGAAGGCAAUUCACUGGCGCAUUCCUGACACUGAAACACGAAAGCGUGGGUAGCGAACGGG